AUAGCAGGCUGGUCUAUCGCUGCAUAAUUAAUGGAGAGGAAAGUCCGGGCAACAUAGAGCGCCAUACUUCCUAACAGGAAGGUUCCAUUUGAAUGGAAACAGCAAGUGCCACAGAAAAUAACCGCCUAAGUUUAAUUUAAAACCGGUAAGGGUGAAAAUGUGAGGUAAGAGCUCACAAUUUUUGUUGGUAACAGCAAAAUUGGGUAAACCUUAUGGGUUGAAAGACCAAAUAUACCGGAGAAUGAGGGCUGCUCGUCCGAUUCCGGGGGGUAGGUUGAUUGAGACUAAGUGUGAAUUUAGUCCUAGAUAAAUGAUAGAAAAUACAUUUAAUUGCAUUACAGAACCCGGCUUAUAGGUCUGCUAUUUUU
rnacentral:RNase_P_RNA from 1 species